rnacentral:tRNA from 3 species
GCCGAGAUGCUGGAACUGGUAGACAGGCUGGACUUAGAAUCCAGUGCCCGUUAAGGGUGUGCAGGUUCAAAUCCUGUUCUCGGCACAA